UUCCAAAAAACUCAACAGAGGAACAAAUUGCCUGAGCUUCAAAAUGCAUGCAUUCAGAUAUGACUACAAAUUCCACAAGACUUGGUCAUGAAAAAUCUCUUAUCAUCUGCUCUGAUGGACAGAUGCAAGGGACAAAAAAAGCUGCAAGAGACUCAAGUUCCAUUGGAGUAAGUCAGAUGUGAUCCAUCACACCAGGAUCUGCAUGAUUUCUACUUCUCUCAUACUCUCAGAAAACUUGAAAUGUCCUUUGAGUCUCAGCUGGAAAGC